AGACAUCCAAGUUCCCUUUUUUUUUUUUUUCUUUUUCCUUCGUCAAUUUGCAGAGAACUUCUAAGAGAGAGUUUGGAAGAAGAAGAGAAAUUUUACUAGAAUUUUUAGGUUGAAGAGGAGGAGGAGAACUCAAGCAAAGUGUAUCCAUGGCUGAAUUUUAGUUCAUUCUGCACAUCACUGGUUUUUAAUUCGGUUUGAACUCUUCAAAAGGAAUUAAGAGGGCAGUUGGUUUUCACUCGAAAUCAGGAGGUCUCUGGUUUUUCUUAUAUUUCAGAGUGUAUCGGUGGAGUUAGAAUCUCUAUUUGGAACAAGUUAAAGAGGUCGUGUGCGCGCGAUUCUGGAAGUGGUUCUAUUUUGAGGGUUAUAUGUGUUUAUGCACGGGGAAUCAGAUUUAUAUGUCUUCAGGCCGAGAAGAAUUAAACCGAGCUUAUAGACGAAGGAUCUAGCCCAAGACUGUGAGUGACAAAACCAACUUUGAAAUAUUUUCCAUAACUGUUAUUAUGAUUGAAUGCGAUAAAUGUUUAUUUACGAAGCCAUGAAAGGUAUUUGAAUUUCAUGACUAUUUUCAAGUAUACAUUUGGAAUCUAUAUUUCUUAAAGAAAUUUAUGCUAGCACGUAGAUAUUAAAUGUUUGGAAAGUAUUUAAACCACAAUAUUUUAAGCAAAGCAUGAAUUAGUAUGAAGUUUUGUUUUAAGAACUAUAAUUUUCCACGAAAGAGCUGAGUAAAGUUCGAGCUUUGUGUAAAAUUUAUAAGCAGGCAUGUUUUAAUAUUUUAUGAUGAUUAUGAAAUUUUCAUUAACUACAUGACUGAGAUCUUGAGCCUGAGGCUAGAGAUUACCGUGUGCACACUGGUUAGAUUUCGUUGUUGACGUUGAGUGUACUCCGUAACAACGAUGCUGUCGUGAGUGCUGGGCGGGCCCCACUACGACAAAGACGAUGGGAGUGCUGGGCGGGCCCCACUACAUCGUAGUGCUUGUAAACGUUGUUGUACUAGGUGUACCCUACACAACGUAGAUUCGUCAUGUUAGUUAAAAUGCUUCGAUAUACUUGAUAUGCCUUGCUAGAUUUCAAUGAUGAACAUGCUGAGUAUUUAAGGAAGCUAUUCUUACUAUUACACAUUUACAUUUACGACUUGUAUAAACAGAUUUAUAUGUGUAAAGUUUUCACGUGCUCUUAUCUUUAAAUUCAUAGUUUUAAACUGAGUCACUCACUAAGCUUCAUAGCUCACCCUUUC